rnacentral:rRNA from 1 species
CAGCAGCCGCGGUAAUACGUAGGGUGCGAGCGUUAAUCGGAAUUACUGGGCGUAGAGCGUGCGCAGGCGGUUGUGUAAGACAGGUGUGAAAUCCCCGGGCUUAACCUGGGAACUGCGCUUGUGACUGCACAGCUAGAGUAUGGCAGAGGGGGGUGGAAUUCCACGUGUAGCAGUGAAAUGCGUAGAGAUGUGGAGGAACACCGAUGGCGAAGGCAGCCCCCUGGGCCAAUACUGACGCUCAUGCACGAAAGCGUGGGGAGCAAACAGGAUUAGAUACCCGCGUAGUCCCUGUCUCUUAUAC